GCAAGUCGAGCGGAAACGACAACAUUGACUCUUCGGAGGAUUGGUUGGGCGUCGAGCGGCGGACGGGAGAGUAAUGCCUAGGAAAUUGCCUUGAUGUGGGGGAUAACCAUUGGAAACGAUGGCUAAUACCGCAUAAUGCCUACGGGCCAAAGAGGGGGACCUUCGGGCCUCUCGCGUCAAGAUAUGCCUAGGUGGGAUUAGCUAGUUGGUGAGGUAAUGGCUCACCAAGGCGACGAUCCCUAGCUGGUCUGAGAGGAUGAUC
rnacentral:rRNA from 1 species